GAUUAAGUUAUUAAGGGCGCACGGUGGAUGCCUUGGCACUAGAAGCCGAUGAAGGACGUUACUAACGACGAUAUGCUUUGGGUAGCUGUAAGUAAGCGUUGAUCCAGAGAUUUCCGAAUGGGGGAACCUAGCAUGAGUUAUGUCAUGUUAUCGACAUGUGAAUUCAUAGCAUGUCAGAAGGCAGACCCGGAGAACUGAAACAUCUUAGUACCCGGAGGAAGAGAAAGAAAAAUCGAUUCCCUGAGUAGCGGCGAGCGAAACGGGAAGAGCCCAAACCAACAAGCUUGCUUGUUGGGGUUGUAGGACACUCUAUACGGAGUUACAAAAGAACAUGUUAGACGAAUCAUCUGGAAAGAUGAAUCAAAGAAGGUAAUAAUCCUGUAGUCGAAAACAUAUUCUCUCUUGAGUGGAUCCUGAGUACGACGGAGCACGUGAAAUUCCGUCGGAAUCUGGGAGGACCAUCUCCUAAGGCUAAAUACUCUCUAGUGACCGAUAGUGAACCAGUACCGUGAGGGAAAGGUGAAAAGUACCCCGGAAGGGGAGUGAAAGAGAACUUGAAACCGUGUGCUUACAAGUAGUCAGAGCCCGUUAAUGGGUGAUGGCGUGCCUUUUGUAGAAUGAACCGGCGAGUUACGAUCUGAUGCAAGGUUAAGCAGCAAAUGUGGAGCCGCAGCGAAAGCGAGUCUGAAUAGGGCGUUGAGUAUUUGGUCGUAGACCCGAAACCAGGUGAUCUACCCUUGGUCAGGUUGAAGUUCAGGUAACACUGAAUGGAGGACCGAACCGACUUACGUUGAAAAGUGAGCGGAUGAACUGAGGGUAGCGGAGAAAUUCCAAUCGAACUUGGAGAUAGCUGGUUCUCUCCGAAAUAGCUUUAGGGCUAGCCUCAAGUGAUGAUUAUUGGAGGUAGAGCACUGUUUGGACGAGGGGCCCCUCUCGGGUUACCGAAUUCAGACAAACUCCGAAUGCCAAUUAAUUUAACUUGGGAGUCAGAACAUGGGUGAUAAGGUCCGUGUUCGAAAGGGAAACAGCCCAGACCACCAGCUAAGGUCCCAAAAUAUAUGUUAAGUGGAAAAGGAUGUGGCGUUGCCCAGACAACUAGGAUGUUGGCUUAGAAGCAGCCAUCAUUUAAAGAGUGCGUAAUAGCUCACUAGUCGAGUGACACUGCGCCGAAAAUGUACCGGGGCUAAACAUAUUACCGAAGCUGUGGAUUGUCCUUUGGACAAUGGUAGGAGAGCGUUCUAAGGGCGUCGAAGCAUGAUCGCAAGGACAUGUGGAGCGCUUAGAAGUGAGAAUGCCGGUGUGAGUAGCGAAAGACGGGUGAGAAUCCCGUCCACCGAUUGACUAAGGUUUCCAGAGGAAGGCUCGUCCGCUCUGGGUUAGUCGGGUCCUAAGCUGAGGCCGACAGGCGUAGGCGAUGGAUAACAGGUUGAUAUUCCUGUACCACCUAGUAUCGUUUUAAUCGAUGGGGGGACGCAGUAGGAUAGGCGAAGCGUGCUGUUGGAGUGCACGUCCAAGCAGUAAGGCUGAGUGUUAGGCAAAUCCGGCACUCAUAAGGCUGAGCUGUGAUGGGGAGAGGAAAUUGUUUCCUCGAGUCGUUGAUUUCACACUGCCGAGAAAAGCCUCUAGAUAGAUAACAGGUGCCCGUACCGCAAACCGACACAGGUAGUCAAGAUGAGAAUUCUAAGGUGAGCGAGCGAACUCUCGUUAAGGAACUCGGCAAAAUGACCCCGUAACUUCGGGAGAAGGGGUGCUCUUUAGGGUUCACGCCCAGAAGAGCCGCAGUGAAUAGGCCCAAGCGACUGUUUAUCAAAAACACAGGUCAACGGUCCUAAGGUAGCGAAAUUCCUUGUCGGGUAAGUUCCGACCCGCACGAAAGGCGUAACGAUUUGGGCACUGUCUCAACGAGAGACUCGGUGAAAUCAUAGUACCUGUGAAGAUGCAGGUUACCCGCGACAGGACGGAAAGACCCCGUGGAGCUUUACUGUAGCCUGAUAUUGAAAUUCGGCACAGCUUGUACAGGAUAGGUAGGAGCCUUUGAAACGUGAGCGCUAGCUUACGUGGAGGCGUUGGUGGGAUACUACCCUAGCUGUGUUGGCUUUCUAACCCGCACCACUUAUCGUGGUGGGAGACAGUGUCAGGCGGGCAGUUUGACUGGGGCGGUCGCCUCCUAAAAGGUAACGGAGGCGCUCAAAGGUUCCCUCAGAAUGGUUGGAAAUCAUUCAUAGAGUGUAAAGGCAUAAGGGAGCUUGACUGCGAGACCUACAAGUCGAGCAGGGUCGAAAGACGGACUUAGUGAUCCGGUGGUUCCGCAUGGAAGGGCCAUCGCUCAACGGAUAAAAGCUACCCCGGGGAUAACAGGCUUAUCUCCCCCAAGAGUUCACAUCGACGGGGAGGUUUGGCACCUCGAUGUCGGCUCAUCGCAUCCUGGGGCUGUAGUCGGUCCCAAGGGUUGGGCUGUUCGCCCAUUAAAGCGGUACGCGAGCUGGGUUCAGAACGUCGUGAGACAGUUCGGUCCCUAUCCGUCGUGGGCGUAGGAAAUUUGAGAGGAGCUGUCCUUAGUACGAGAGGACCGGGAUGGACAUACCUCUGGUGUACCAGUUGUCGUGCCAACGGCAUAGCUGGGUAGCUAUGUAUGGACGGGAUAAGUGCUGAAAGCAUCUAAGCAUGAAGCCCCCCUCAAGAUGAGAUUUCCCAACUUCGGUUAUAAGAUCCCUCGAAGAUGACGAGGUUAAUAGGUUCGAGGUGGAAGCGUGGUGACACGUGGAGCUGACGAAUACUAAUCGAUCGAAGACUUAAUCAA
rnacentral:rRNA from 1 species